UACAGAGGGUGCGAGCGUUGUUCGGAAUUAUUGGGCGUAAAGGGCGCGUAGGCGGUGCGGUAAGUCACCUGUGAAAUCUCCUGGCUCAACUGGGAGCUUGCAGGCGAAACUGCCGUGCUGGAGUGUGGGAGAGGUGCGUGGAAUUCCUGGUGUAGCGGUGAAAUGCGUAGAGAUCUGGAGGAAUACCGAUGGCGAAGGCAGCCAUCUGGCCUAACACUGACGCUGAGGUGCGAAAGCAUGGGGAGCAAACAGG
rnacentral:rRNA from 1 species